rnacentral:rRNA from 1 species
UACGUAGGGGGCAAGCGUUGUCCGGAUUUAUUGGGCGUAAAGAGCGUGUAGGCGGCUAGGUAGGUCCGUUGUGAAAACUCGAGGCUCAACCUCGAGAUGUCGGCGGAAACCACUUGGCUAGAGUCCGGAAGAGGAGAGUGGAAUUCCUGGUGUAGCGGUGAAAUGCGCAGAUAUCAGGAAGAACACCUAUGGCGAAGGCAGCUCUCUGGGACGGUACUGACGCUGAGACGCGAAAGCGUGGGGAGCGAACAGG